UCUCCUACAUGCAUCCGGGACAAGGAGGCUAGGUCCAGCUCUCAUGUGUGCUGUGGUUGGUGGUUCAGUCUCUGGGAGUCCCCAGCAGUACAUACUCUUAAUCCCUAAACCACUCUCCCGUUUUAAAUUUUUAAAAUUUUUUAUUCAUCUUACGUGUAUGUUACUGUGUGUACUGUGGCUUGUAUGAAGAUCAGAGGACAGCUCUUAAGAAUUCUUUCCUUCCACCAUGUGGAUCUUGGGAAUUAAACUUAGGACAUCAAAUGUGCAAAAGGCGGCUCACCAGCCCUGUAGUUUUAAACUACAACUUGGCUUGCCUAGGGUGCAGGAAGUUAGGAGUUCAAAACCAAGUGGGGUAGGUAACUUAGAUGCCUAUAAUCCCAGUAUUCAGAAGUAGAGACAAGAGGUCAUCCUUGGCUGCAUAGCCAGUUUGUGCCCAACUUUAAACUAUGUAAGUUUUAACUAAUUUCAAAAUAUAUUCUAAUGAUAUAUCCCUUCCUGCCAUCCUUAGAACUUAGAAUCCCUGGAACUUAGUAUAUAAGACCUGCAUCCUCUAAGAUACUAGGAUCUUUCAAAAGAAUGGAAUAAUGGGGGGGGGGGGGGAGUAGCCCCAGUUGACACCAAACUUGGUAUGGAGCUGAGGCUGACCUUAAAUCUUAAUGUCCUACUCUACCUCUGAAAGGCUGUGAUUAUAGGCAUAUGCGGCCAAAACCAGAUUGACAAAACGUUUCUGAUGUAGGGGCUGGAGAGAAGGCUGCAGUUAAGAGUACUUGUUCUUGCAGAGAGACAGGGUUGCAUUCCUAGCACCUACAUACAUGUAACUCCUGUUUUAGGGAGGUCUGAUUCCUUCUGGCUUCUGCAGGUACCAGGUAUGCAUGUGGUACAAUGACAUUCAGGCAGGGAAAACAAAUCUAAAAAUUUUUUAAAGUUUCUAAAGCAGAUUAGAAUGUUUUCAAACUGAGUAAAUCAAAGGCACACUAAGCAUCUUAAUAAUUAUGUUCUAAGUUGAUUUAUUGCCCAUGUCUGAUAUACAGACUUAGUUGGUGAACCAGUCCAGGCCUUGGGUGCGUGCUCUAGCUGAUAAGAGGAGUUCCCUCCUAGACCCUCUGUUUCCUCAUGAAUUGUAAAGAUUAGGUCAAGUGACCUUUUACAACUAAGUUUGAUAUUCAAGAGACUCUGUACAAAUAGAUACAGAGUGGAAGUUUGUCCAUAACUUACCAUGAACCACUGCUUCCUUCCCAGCUGCCUGCCUUCUUGAGCUCGGGAGGGGAGGCUUGCAUCUGAUACAUACCAAAGCCUUGCGGACCAGCAACGGGCUAGACUCCUUCUAUUCAAGCUUAUGAAGCAUUCAAGAAUCUGUGGUUAAGAUAACUGUAUUCGAAGCAGUAGGUAUUUGCUGACCAUGCCCCAGGUCCUGCCCUAGAGUAAACUGGUGGGUAAGCCUGCUUCGAGUAACAGGCUUUUCUCAAAAGUACCUCACCAAACCAAUUCAAGAGGGAAGACUUGUUUUGGUCCACUGUUUGAGGGCAUCCAGUCCUUCGUGGUCUAGAGCGCAUGCUAUGGCAGCUAAAGAACUGGAGGAGAAGUGGGGGACUGGAGGAGGCAGUGGCAGUGAUCCCAGCUCCUCCAAGCUUUGAACUGGGAAGCAAAGAAAAGACUGGAAGCAGGGCCAGGAAGCAGGGAAAUGGACCAGAGGAAGGGACCUACCUGCUCAAGACCUCAAAGGCUGGCCCCAGUGGCCGACAUCUACCAGCUGGGCUACCUGUCUCAAAGGCUCCAAAGCCUCCAAAAAUAGUGCCACCAGCUGGGAAUCAAGGGUUCAAACAUACGAACCUGUGGGAGGUUCAGAUUCGAGCUGUAACAGGAGAGCGUGUGCUCAUUAUGAGACUCCUAGUGUCCUGCCCUGCCGUGAUGAAAGUCAUAGUUACCACUGCAGCCUAAAUGGAUAUUCUGAAGCCUAUGUUCAUUUUUGUCAAAACUCUACCAUUAUAAGCAACUCAAGAACAAAGAGUACACAGGUCUCUGGGACAGAAGAGGGACAGUUUCAACUGUUUUUCGCUGAGAAGAGUCAUCUACAGACCAGCUCAAGGAAUCAAGCCAUAAACCUUAAGUCACAUAAUAACGGUGAGCCCUCCAGAAUAACAGCAGAUUUGUCAGUUGAAGAUUUUAAAUCCAGGAAGGCUUGGAAUGGUAUAUUUCCAAUUCUGGAAGGUAAUAACUCUCAGGCGAACCAUACGGCUGCUGGACGUGCGCCUCUACUGUCACUUCAAUGCCAGCUUCUGGCGAAAAGUGGAGGCCUUCGGGUGUGAGCACAUGGCGCUCGAGGUAGCCAAGCUGCAUAGAUAUUGGCCAAGCGGUUGGUGCUGAGGCCAUCCAGGACUCAGUCAUACAGCCCCGGCAGCCCCUGGGCGUCAAGUCCAUCGGGUUACAACCUCAAGAAGAGCAUCCGGCCGCAACACGAGCAGCUCUGCCAGCGCAUGCUCACACCCGAAAUCCAGUACCCGUCUGACCUCGGUGCCAAUCUCUGGGUCACCAAGCUCUGGAAGUUCCUUAGGGACUUUCUAAGGUGGUGACAUAUGCUGCCCACCUCCUGUUUGGCUUCCUGGUACAGAAGGGCUGGGCAGGGAGUCUCUGGCACCUAGCCUUUCCCAGCCACGCCUAGUGCCACCUUGGUGUCCCCAAGGUCAUAGCUAUCUGGGGCUGGUGUCUCUGAACGAGAGGGCCUAACGGAGAGGUAUUUGACUAAUUAUGCCUUUUUUUAAUUUCCAGCCUCCUCUUACAAGAGGCGACUCAGACGUAAAUUUGAAA